UGGAACCACCUGAUCCCUUCCCGAACUCAGAAGUGAAACGAUGCAUCGCCGAUGGUAGUGUGGGGUUUCCCCAUGUGAGAGUAGGUCAUCGUCAAGC
rnacentral:rRNA from 1 species